rnacentral:rRNA from 1 species
CAAGGGUUGGGCCACCGGCUUCAGGUGUUACCGACUUUCAUGACUUGACGGGCGGUGUGUACAAGACCCGGGAACGUAUUCACCGCAGCGUUGCUGAUCUGCGAUUACUAGCGACUCCGACUUCAUGAGGUCGAGUUGCAGACCUCAAUCCGAACUGGGACCGGCUUUUUGGGAUUCGCUCCACCUCACGGUAUUGCAGCCCUUUGUACCGGCCAUUGUAGCAUGCGUGAAGCCCAAGACAUAAGGGGCAUGAUGAUUUGACGUCAUCCCCACCUUCCUCCGAGUUGACCCCGGCAGUAUCCCAUGAGUUCCCACCAUUACGUGCUGGCAACAUAGAACGAGGGUUGCGCUCGUUGCGGGACUUAACCCAACAUCUCACGACACGAGCUGACGACAACCAUGCACCACCUGUUCACCAGUGUCCAAAGAGUCCCGUAUUUCUACGGUGUUCUGGUGUAUGUCAAGCCUUGGUAAGGUUCUUCGCGUUGCAUCGAAUUAAUCCGCAUGCUCCGCCGCUUGUGCGGGUCCCCGUCAAUUCCUUUGAGUUUUAGCCUUGCGGCCGUACUCCCCAGGCGGGGAACUUAAUGCGUUAGCUGCGUCACGGAAACCGUGGAAUGGUCCCCACAACUAGUUCCCAACGUUUACGGGGUGGACUACCAGGGUAUCUAAGCCUGUUUGCUCCCCACCCUUUCGCUCCUCAGCGUCAGUUACGGCCCAGAGAUCUGCCUUCGCCAUCGGUGUUCCUCCUGAUAUCUGCGCAUUCCACCGCUACACCAGGAAUUCCAAUCUCCCCUACCGCACUCUAGUCUGCCCGUACCCACUGCAGGCCCGAGGUUGAGCCUCGGGAUUUCACAGCAGACGCGACAAACCGCCUACGAGCUCUUUACGCCCAAUAAUUCCGGAUAACGCUUGCGCCCUACGUAUUACCGCGGCUGCUGGCACGUAGUUAGCCGGCGCUUUUUCUGCAGGUACCGUCACUCUCGCUUCUUCCCUGCUAAAAGAGGUUUACAACCCGAAGGCCGUCAUCCCUCACGCGGCGUUGCUGCAUCAGGCUUCCGCCCAUUGUGCAAUAUUCCCCACUGCUGCCUCCCGUAGGAGUCUGGGCCGUGUCUCAGUCCCAGUGUGGCCGGUCACCCUCUCAGGCCGGCUACCCGUCGACGCCUUGGUGAGCCAUUACCUCACCAACAAGCUGAUAGGCCGCGAGCCCAUCCCAGACCGAAAAAUCUUUCCAACCCCCACCAUGCGAUGAGAGCUCAUAUCCAGUAUUAGACGCCGUUUCCAGCGCUUAUCCCAGAGUCCAGGGCAGGUUGCUCACGUGUUACUCACCCGUUCGCCACUGAUCCACCAAGCAAGCUUGGCUUCA